CCCUUUCACCUGUAACCUUUCAACCCUUAGUUGUCAAAGGCAAAAUGGCAGCGUCCAUACCAAGUAUUGAAAGGAUUUUAUGCCGUGUGUCCGCUUUACUUUACAGAAUAUUCUGCAGAAUCUGGUGUGCAGUCCAGCCUGUCGGUGCACUGCAGCCUGAUACCCCCAGUGAUGCAGUGGAGGCUCUUGCCACCGACAGAGCAAAGAGUACAUAGAGCGCUAUGGACAAGUCCAGUGUGGUCUGACUACAGGAGGAACCACAAAGGAGGGAUCCCCCCUUCAGAAGACACACACAACCUACAUUAGAUGAGACAAGAUAUUUGGGAACCCCCAUCCAAUUUGCCGAGACCCCAACGUCAUCAUCCACUAUCAGGUUUGGUCUCUCACAUUGACUUAUGGAAUGUACACACACACACACACAAUCAUUAUGAGAGAUGGAAAAUUAGAUGGUAUUUCCUUUGAUUUUGUGAGGUUGAUUUUAACAAGCUAUUCAAUGUUAUGUUUGGUAAGCAAUGGACCAUUGUCUUUCUGCAAAAUGUGAAGCUGCUGCAACAGUUUAUCAGUCCAUAUACCAAGAUUGAACUCUUUGGCCUGAAUGCCAAGCAUCACAUCUGGAGGAAACCUGGCACCAUCCCUACAGUGAAGCAUGGUGGGGGCAGCAUCAUGUUGUGGGUAUGUUUUU